AGAGCCUGACUUGUGAGUGCGCGCGCGGGCACCUAGAUGGCGCGUGAUACUUACUCAAUCAUCGUGAUCGUGGGCUCUGGCCGGGCCUCGUUGCCUUUCUUCCGCCGUCCAUUUUGGAGAGCGCACGUGUUUGCGGAGGUGUCCCGAUCGUGUCACAAGCAGCGAAGUUCUAAGUGUAGCAGUGCAGCUGAAAAGAACAGACCACUAGUAACCUGGAAAGGAACGAGAAGAGUGUUGAAGCUGGUACGCUUCCCAGAUCCUAACGACUAGUCGUCUACAACAGUCCUAAAGUCCGUGCGUGUUCUUGCGAGUUCGUGCGCGUCCGGAUAGUGGAACCAGUGGCAGAAGAAAAUACACUUACGGUCAAGUGCUAACAAGAAUACCCACCUCUCAAUAGAGAAUUACGAAAUAACAGCUGAGGAAAUAAGCGUCACGAGAUUAACACCCCGACAAAACCAAUUAUUAAAAUCGGCAAAAAUAUCCAAAGAUCCCUUUCAAAGGAAGAAAUAAAUAAAUAUGUACAGAAACUAAAUCAAGCGUUUGCCGAACAUGAACAAAAGAGAAAAAUUUGCGAACAACUUGAUACAUCAUCAUGGAUCCUAUGUCAUCAAAGUUUACCGAAUCUCUGUCCGAAAGAAUUGAAAGAGCAACACGUGACUAUCGUCGGGCUGAGUCCUUUAAUCCCAAACACCAUCCCAACCAGUCAUUCCACGUGGAAAACAAACAAAACAUAACACCGAAAGAAUCGAUAAAUGUUACAAAGAUAGAUGUCCCUCUAGAAAGAUCUCUAGAGUUUUACAUGAGUAACCCAAAGAAAAUUCCAACACUACCAAUGGAGAGAUGGGACAGCUUACUACAAUAUUGGAAAAAUAAAAAUGAUGAAGCGCGUCAAGAUUACUUGGCAAAGGUCACUCCAAUUCUGAAAGAGGCGCUAAAAUUUCAAAAACAAAUGGAAAAGUACAAAGUAGGAAAAUAGGAAGAAAUCAAUCGAGUUCUUCCCCCAUGCUCAAUUUUAAGCAACGUCAUACGAAAAAGUACAUUAAUAACAUCUUUAUCGAAACCUCAGGUGAGUCAACAAUUAUUAAACUCCACACCGAGUACUCUUCCGGCAACAGGUACAUCUGGAACAACACUCGUAACCUCUUCAUCUAUUAAUCUUCCGUUUAAGCGUCAGAAACUAUCAAGUGCCAUUGAAGUACCAACCUAGGAUAAUGAGAUAAUAAUAGAAGGAGAGCACAACACUAAAAACCCCACAGAGAAACCCAAAAUCGCAAAAGAAAGAAGAAACACACAAAAAAAAGAAGGAAGAACCAAGAUCGAUUACCAAUACGUAACACCUUCGGCAUAAAAACCAAGACCAAGUGAUAUGAAACAGAUAAGGAAACAUCUCCUCGGACAAAGACAUGAAUGAUUCGACACAGCACAAAGUCCAUGAUGAUUAUUAAGUCCGGACUAAGGGCGCACUGGUUUCAAAAGACAAACUGUCAACAGUGACCCGAGAACGAGUAAGUUUGUGACAAACUGCCGGUGGAGGAAAAAUUGGCCCACCAUUCAGGAAAAGACCGAGUCACAAAAAGAAAACAAAGUGACGUGGUCCAUUACAAGAUUAAAAAACUUCAUCUAUAAAAGUCAUCUAAUAAUCGAAUCGAGUUUUUUGUUAUCUCUUGUUACAAUCUUUUUGUUAUCUUUUGUUAUCUCUUAGAAGAAUCAUUUUCAUGAUAAACAUGUAUACGAUUUUUAGUUAUUUUAUUUUAUCUAAUAAAGAUAGCUUUCGCGGAAUAAGGACUUUAGCCAGUUUUCUUUUAACAUAUAAAAAUAAGACGUAAUCUGUCGUAUUGAGGGACGAGCUUGGGUAACUUUACAGAACCUAGCCGUAUAUAUCCUUAACCAUAUAUCUCCGUACAGUAGUUUUGCUUUAUCAUAAUUUUUUAAUUUAUACUAUAACCAAUCUAAUCUAAUCAAUUAAGUGAAACAUUAUCCAGAUUCUUCUACUAAUAGUGAUUCUAACUGAUUGAAUCGCGUCAUCGCGUUUCAGUCAGUACCGAUUAGAUCUUUUAUCGUUUAAAAAUCUGUUUAAAUCUGUCAAAAUCAUAUUCCGUAUAUAACUAACUUGGCGUCAUUGUUGUUCGAUAAGUGAAAGUUGUUUUGUUUACAUUUCUUACCGGAAUGAAAUAAGUUACUUUUGAUAUUAAUAUAUGAAACGUACUUGUAAGGAAUGAUAAGCCAGUAUACGACAGUCUUUCGUAUAGUUACCGUUCGACUGCUGAAAAAUGAAAUUCUAUGAAAAUAUAAUUUAAUUUACGCAUUUUAUUGCAUUUAUAAAUUUAAUUGCAUUUAUAAAGUAAUCUUAAUUUAAAUAUUUUUUUAGUAGAUGCUGCUAUCUCGAACGACUAGCGGGGAGCUGGACCCCCCUAAAAACUAACCUAACCCAACCUAUCGUCACAUUAAGCGUCAGUCAAUGUUUAUUAAAGUUCAACUUUUGUGUUAAUGUGAUGAGUGUUAAUGUGCGCAGCUUUCCGCUAGUCUUUCGAGAUUGCAAUACUUACUAAAAAUAUUUAAAUUAAGAUUAAUUUAUAAAUGCAAUAAAAUGCGUAAAUUAAAUUAUAUUUCCAUAGAAUUUCAUUUUUCAGCAGUCGAACGGUAACUAUACGAAAGAUUGUCGUAUACUGGCUUAUCAUUCCUUACAAGUACAUUCAUAUUCAUAUUCAUAUUCAUAGUUUCAUACGUCUAAUAUCAAUAGUAACUUAUUUCAUUCCGGUAUUACAUCCUGCACAGACGUGAGUCACAUUAUUUAUCUUUUAUCCUCCUGUCGGCACCCAACAAACAGCUCCAAAUCCUAAUCGGUUUUCCCGUCUAUCCCAAUAAAAAUUCGAACCGUAAUUCCCGAUAACUAGGAAAUACGGAACCAAAAAUCUCCUAAUCCUCCAAGUAAGUUUCGCUGGACCUUAACAUCAAAAGGAAACCGCCGUACCUUACCCAUAACAUCAGAAGGAGACACCAGAUAACAAAAAAAUUAUAUCCAUUACUUUCCAACUUGCAUCACCCUCUUCCGCCCUGUCCACAGAUUCCCUCACCACCGAAAAAUCCUCCAAUUGCCGUCUCUCUUAAACGUACGAUUUUCUCCACCCAUUACCCCAGUCAAAGAGAUCUUUUUAACCCUAUCUGCUCAUUUAUCACUGGCUGCAACAUUACCCCAUGCCUUCCUCUUUUAACGAAUCUAACACCUAGGAUCCCCGAAAUGUCAUAUUUUUCCUACCAAACCAUCUCCAGCUAAUCCCCUAUAAAACCGCGACCCCGCGUUGUGCUCGCACUUCCUCGCUUGGUUCACGACUUCCUCUCUUGGGUCUCUUCUACUACUGGACAGACGUCGCAUUCCUUUCUUCCGCUUACUUCAAUUCACUUCAUCUCUUCGUCACUACUUCUUCACAAGUGCUACCGCGCCAAAAAUUGAAGGGACUUUGAGGAAACGUUGCCCACGAAUUGACUGAGCCCAUUGAUCAUCCUUAACCCCCAUCUUGGUAAAGGUUAUCACCGAAAAGUAAGUCCUACGAGUCUUUUAUUUUUCUUUUUUUUUGUUUUAUGUGAUUCCUGUCGCGCUAAUUAAUUGUGAUAAUUCUGAAGAGUCCAAAAUUUGGUUUUGUCCUUGAGAUCUACUUUCCCCUUCAUUUCCUACACCCCGUAUUAACCUUGAAGACUAACAUUCAUCCUCACCUUCUACAUUCACAUGCACACCACACACAUUUACACACGCGUACCCGAUAAUUUUUGACACUGUAACCCUUCGAUAGUAAUUGACCGCGAUAAAAAUUGUAACGAGGCGCAAGAAAAUAAGUGUAAAUCAUUAAUGUCUAAAAUUUCGGAUUACAAUUUAAUUUAAAAUUUUAUCUUAAUUUUCCAACUUCCUUUCCAUUCGAUUAUUCGCUCUUAAUCCGUCCCGCGAUAUAGAGAUUCGGUUCUCUGAUCGAAAAAGGACCACUCGCCGUACGUUGACACCUGUGUAAACGACCCUUUUGGUCGCUGACGCGUUUCUCGACCUGCGUGUAAGGCCGAGGCUUUCGUCACGUUGCGUUUUUCGCCAGAACGCAACCUACUGACGUAAUACCGGUAAGAAAUGUAAACAAAACUUUCACUUACCGAACAACAUGACAAUACGAAACUAGAUAUCAGUAUGUAUAGUAUCAGAAAAUUACACUAUACUCAAUUACAUUAUAUACAUUUUCUUUGUUAAUAACUUUUUAAUGAACAACGAGCUACGGUUAAAAUCUCUUGAAUAUUAUUCAGGAUGGUCAACUGUAUAAUAUAUCCAAAGAUUAUUAAAAUCAGAGAGUGGUCCGUUAUUCUGCAUAUUUACCUCCAAAUGAGCGGUGUGCAACUUUUCGUGUCCAAAUGAGCGGUGUGUAACUUUUCGUGUCUAAAUGAGCGGUGUGCAACUUUUCGUGUCCAAAUGAGCGGUGCACAAUUUUCGGUGUCCAAAUUAGCUGUGUGCAACUUUUCGUAUCCAAAUGAACGGUAUGCAACUUUUCGUGUCUAAAUGAGCGGUGUGCAACUUUUCGUGUCCAAAUGACCGGCGUGCAACUUUCAGUGUCCAAAUGAGCGAUCCGCAUUUUUCUCGUGUUCAAAUGCACUGUGUCCAAAUUCAUCGUGUCCAAUUGCACCGUGUCCAAUUAAACCGUGGGCAAAAUUUCGUGUCUAAUUGCAACGUGUCCAUUUGCUCCAUAUCCAAUUGUACCGUGUCCAAGUACACCGCUCCCAAAUGAAAGUACGUUAGCACGACCAGGAUCUAUACAAUCAGGAACGCAACAAAACAUAUUAAAUACUGGAGUAUAAGAAACUCAGGUAUCACAAAGUAAGUACGUCUAAAUGUUAGUUAAAUCAGAUCAUCACAUACAUUACAUAUUUUAACCGAUUUUCUUACACCGUGUUGUACUAUUUCUCUUAAUUCAUGAUCGUGGCUGCAGGAAAUUGCCAUGGAAAAAUAUGUACAAUAAUAAAUAUAUCAUUUAAUUAAAUUGUAUGACAAUAUUAUAAGAUAAAAUUACGAUAUUUUAUAUAAUUUGCAUAGUAUGAAUAAAAUUAAUUUUGUAAUAAUUUAUAAAAACAAAUACGACCGCAACUCGCGAACUCUUCUACUCAAACGCACACUUUAUCUUCACUUUGUCGAUCAUGCAAUAAACUAACAGAUACGAAGGAAUGAUAUUUAUCUCUCAUUACUUAGACUCUGAACUCAAAUAUCUUAUUCAAAUCUGAGUAAUAUUGUGAAAGUCUGAUUUGUGAGUGCGCGCGCGGACACCUAGAUGGCGUGUGAUUCUUACUCAAUCGUCGUAACCGUGGGCUUUGGCCGAGACUCGUGGCCUUUCUUCCGCAGUCCAUCUUGGAGAGUACACGUAUUCGCGGAGGUGUCCCGAUCGUGUCACAAGCAGCGGAAUUCUAUGGUCUGUUUUUUUCAGCUACACUGUUUCACUGGUGCAAUAAGUUAGAAUGAGACAUACAUAUUUUAUUUCACUUUAGCUUAUUGCACCAGUGUACCAGUGCAGCUGAAAAGAACAGACCACUAGUAACCAGGAGAGGAACGAGAAGAGUCCGGAAGCUGAUACGCUUCCCAGGUACUAACGACUAGCCGUCUACAGCAAUCCUAAGGUCCGUGCGUGUUCUUGCGAGUCUGUGCGCGUUUGGAUAGUGGAAACAGUAGCAGAAGACAACACACUUACGGUCAAGUGUUAACAAAAAUACAAACCCACCUCUCAACAGAGAAUUACGAAAUAACAGCGGAGGAAAUAAGCGUCACGAGAUUAACACCCCGACAAAACCAAUUAUUAAAAUCGACAAAAAUAUCCAAAGAUCCCUUUCAGAAGAAGAGAUAAAUAGAUUUUGUAUCAAAAUUAUAUCAAGCGUUCGCCGAACACGACCAAAAGGAAAAAAUUUGCGAACAAUUAGAUAUAUCAUCAUAGUUUCCCAUAUUGUUCAUCGAACUUCUGUCCGAAAGGGACAGUUCACAGAGUAACACGUGAAUAUCGUCGCUGAAUCCUUUAACCCCAAACAUUAUCAAGCAGUCAUUCGCUAUGGAAAACAAACAAAACACAACACAGAACGAAUCAAUAAAUGUUGGAAAGAUGGAUGUUUUCCUAGAAAGAACUCCAGAGUUUUACCUGAAUGACCACAGUAGAAUUCCAUUAAUAUCAAUGGAGAAAUGGAACCGUUACCUACAACAUUGGAAUAAUAAACAUGAUGAAUCGCGUCAAGAUUACUUGGCAAAAGUCACUUCAAUUCUGAAAGAGGCGCUAAAAUUUAAAAAAGAAAUGGAAAAGUACAAAGUAGGAAAAUAAGAAGAAAUCAAUCGAGAUCUUCCCCCAUGCUCAAUUUUAAGCAACGUCAUACGAAAAAGUACAUUAGUAACAUCUUUAUCGAAACCUCAGGUGAAUCAACAAUUAUUAAACUCCACACCGAGUACUCUUCCGGCAACAGGUACAUCUGGAACAACACUCGCAACUUCUUCAUCUAUUAAUCUUCCGUUUAAGCGUCAGAAACAAUCAAGUGCCAUCGAAGUACCAACCCAGGAUAAUGAGGUAAUAAUAGAAGAAGAGCACAACACUAAAAACCCCACAGAGAAACACAAAAAACGCAAAAGAAAGAAGAAACACACAAAAAAAAGAAGGAAGAACCAAAAUCGAUUACCAAUACGAAACACCUUCAGCAUAAAAACCAAGACCAAAUGAUAUGAAACAGAUAAGGAAACAUCUCCUCGGACAAAGACAUGAAUGAUUCGGCACAGCACAAAGUCCAUGAUGAUUAUUAAGUCCGGACUAAGGGCGCACUGGUUUCAAAAGACAAACUGUCAAGAGUGACCCAAGAACGAGUAAGUUAGUGACAAACUGCUGAUGGAGGAAAAAUUGGCCCACCAUUCAGGAAAAGACCGAGUCACAAAAAGAAAACAAAGUGACGCGGUCCAUUACAAGACUAAAAAACUUCAUCUAAAAAAGUCAUCUAAUAAUCGAAUCGAGUUUUUUGUUAUCUCUUGUUACAAUCUUUUUGUUAUCUUUUGUUAUCUCUUAGAAGAAUCAUUUUCAUGAUAAGCAUGUAUACGAUUUUUAGUUAUUUUAUUUUAUCUAAUAAAGAUAGCUUUCGCGGAAUAAGGA